AUACGGAGGGUGCAAGCGUUAUCCGGAUUCAUUGGGUUUAAAGGGUGCGCAGGCGGAUAUUUAAGUCAGUGGUGAAAUCCCGGGGCUCAACCUCGGAACUGCCAUUGAUACUGAAUAUCUGGAAUACGGUUGAAGUGGGCGGAAUGUAGCAUGUAGCGGUGAAAUGCAUAGAGAUGCUACAGAACACCGAUCGCGAAGGCAGCUCACUAAGCCGAUCUUGACGCUCAGGCACGAAAGCGUGGGGAGCGAACAGGAUUAGAUACCCUAGUAGUCC
rnacentral:rRNA from 1 species